ACAAGCGGUGGAGCAUGUGGUUCAAUUCGACGCAACGCGAAGAACCUUACCAAGGCUUGACAUACACCGGUAACGCCCAGAGAUGGGUGCCCCUUUGUGGUCGGUGGACAGGUGGUGCAUGGUUGUCGUCAGCUCGUGUCGUGAGAUGUUGGGUUAAGUCCCGCAACGAGCGCAACCCUCGUCCUAUGUUGCCAGCGGGUCAUGCCGGGGACUCAUGGGAGACUGCCGGGGUCAACUCGGAGGAAGGUGGGGAUGACGUCAAAUCAUCAUGCCCCUUAUGUCUUGGGCUUCACGCAUGCUACAAUGGCCGGUACAAAGGGCUGCGAUACCGCGAGGUGGAGCGAAUCCCAGAAAGCCGGUCUCAGUUCGGAUUGGGGUCUGCAACUCGACCCCAUGAAGUCGGAGUCGCUAGUAAUCGCAGAUCAGCAACGCUGCGGUGAAUACGUUCCCGGGCCUU
rnacentral:rRNA from 1 species